CAGGAUGAACGCUAGCUACAGGCUUAACACAUGCAAGUCGAGGGGCAGCAUGGUCUUAGCUUGCUAAGGCCGAUGGCGACCGGCGCACGGGUGAGUAACACGUAUCCAACCUGCCGUCUACUCUUGGACAGCCUUCUGAAAGGAAGAUUAAUACAAGAUGGCAUCAUGAGUCCGCAUGUUCACAUGAUUAAAGGUAUUCCGGUAGACGAUGGGGAUGCGUUCCAUUAGAUAGUAGGCGGGGUAACGGCCCACCUAGUCUUCGAUGGAUAGGGGUUCUGAGAGGAAGGUCCCCCACAUUGGAACUGAGACACGGUCCAAACUCCUACGGGAGGCAGCAGUGAGGAAUAUUGGUCAAUGGGCGAGAGCCUGAACCAGCCAAGUAGCGUGAAGGAUGACUGCCCUAUGGGUUGUAAACUUCUUUUAUAAAGGAAUAAAGUCGGGUAUGGAUACCCGUUUGCAUGUACUUUAUGAAUAAGGAUCGGCUAACUCCGUGCCAGCAGCCGCGGUAAUACGGAGGAUCCGAGCGUUAUCCGGAUUUAUUGGGUUUAAAGGGAGCGUAGAUGGAUGUUUAAGUCAGUUGUGAAAGUUUGCGGCUCAACCGUAAAAUUGCAGUUGAUACUGGAUAUCUUGAGUGCAGUUGAGGCAGGCGGAAUUCGUGGUGUAGCGGUGAAAUGCUUAGAUAUCACGAAGAACUCCGAUUGCGAAGGCAGCCUGCUAAGCUGCAACUGACAUUGAGGCUCGAAAGUGUGGGUAUCAAACAGGAUAAU
rnacentral:rRNA from 1 species